rnacentral:rRNA from 1 species
ACGCAUGGUAGGAGAGCGUUCCGUAAGCCUGCGAAGGUGCCUUGUAAAGGGUGCUGGAGGUAUCGGAAGUGCGAAUGCUGACAUGAGUAGCGAUAAAGGGGGUGAAAGGCCCCCUCGCCGUAAGCCCAAGGUUUCCUACGCAACGUUCAUCGGCGUAGGGUGAGUCGGCCCCUAAGGCGAGGCAGAAAUGCGUAGCUGAUGGGAAGCAGGUCAAUAUUCCUGCACCGUCGUUAGAUGCGAUGGGGGGACGGAUCGCGGAAGGUUGUCCGGGUGUUGGAAGUCCCGGUCGCUGCAUUGGAGAAGGCGCUUAGGCAAAUCCGGGCGCAGGAUUCAAGGGUGUGGCGCGAGCUCCUUCGGGAGCGAAGCAAUUGGAAGUGGUUCCAAGAAAAGCCUCUAAGCUUCAGUCUAACGAUGACCGUACCGCAAACCGACACAGGUGGGCGAGAUGAGUAUUCUAAGGCGCUUGAGAGAACUCGGGAGAAGGAACUCGGCAAAUUGGUACCGUAACUUCGGGAUAAGGUACGCCCUUGUAGCUUGACUGGCCUGCGCCAGGAGGGUGAAGGGGUUGCAAUAAACUGGUGGCUGCGACUGUUUAAUAAAAACACAGCACUCUGCAAACACGAAAGUGGACGUAUAGGGUGUGACGCCUGCCCGGUGCCGGAAGAUUAAAUGAUGGGGUGCAAGCUCUUGAUUGAAGUCCCGGUAAACGGCGGCCGUAACUAUAACGGUCCUAAGGUAGCGAAAUUCCUUGUCGGGUAAGUUCCGACCUGCACGAAUGGCGUAACGAUGGCCACACUGUCUCCUCCCGAGACUCAGCGAAGUUGAAGUGUUUGUGAUGAUGCAAUCUACCCGCGGCUAGACGGAAAGACCCCAUGAACCUUUACUGUAGCUUUGCAUUGGACUUUGAACCGAUCUGUGUAGGAUAGGUGGGAGGCUAUGAAACCGGAACGCUAGUUUCGGUGGAGCCGUCCUUGAAAUACCACCCUGGUUUGUUUGAGGUUCUAACCUUGGCCCGUGAUCCGGGUCGGGGACAGUGCAUGGUAGGCAGUUUGACUGGGGCGGUCUCCUCCCAAAGCGUAACGGAGGAGUACGAAGGUACGCUAGGUACGGUCGGAAAUCGUGCUGAUAGUGCAAUGGCAUAAGCGUGCUUAACUGCGAGACCGACAAGUCGAGCAGGUGCGAAAGCAGGUCAUAGUGAUCCGGUGGUUCUGUAUGGAAGGGCCAUCGCUCAACGGAUAAAAGGUACUCUGGGGAUAACAGGCUGAUACCGCCCAAGAGUUCAUAUCGACGGCGGUGUUUGGCACCUCGAUGUCGGCUCAUCUCAUCCUGGGGCUGUAGCCGGUCCCAAGGGUAUGGCUGUUCGCCAUUUAAAGAGGUACGUGAGCUGGGUUUAAAACGUCGUGAGACAGUUUGGUCCCUAUCUGCCGUGGGCGUUGGAUAUUUGAAGGGGGCUGCUCCUAGUACGAGAGGACCGGAGUGGACGAACCUCUGGUGUACCGGUUGUGACGCCAGUCGCAUCGCCGGGUAGCUAUGUUCGGAAGAGAUAACCGCUGAAAGCAUCUAAGCGGGAAACUCGCCUUAAGAUGAGAUAUCCCUGGAGGCUUGACCUCCUUGAAGGGUCGUUCGAGACCAGGACGUUGAUAGGUCAGGUGUGUAAGCGCAGUAAUGCGUUCAGCUAACUGAUACUAAUUGCCCGUAAGGCUUGAUCCUAUAACA